GCAGGGCCGGAUUAACCACGUGGCAGAUGCGGCAUAUGCCGCGGGCCUCGCGCUUAUGGGGGCCUCGCGCUUUACUGUACCACGCCCAUUUUUACGAGAACACGUCCAUUUUCUAUUGGGACACGCCCAAUAUAGGUGCCUCGCGAAUUUAGGGACCUCGCGCAUUUUAAUAGGGCCCCUAGGCUUGGCAGUUGGCCGCAGGAAAAUAUGCAAUAC
rnacentral:lncRNA from 1 species